GUGAUUGCUUCAACAGCACAUACACUAAAACCGGAGCAAUACAGAGAUUAGCAUGGCCUCAGUGCAAGGAUGAUACACAAAUUCAUGAAGCGUUCCAUAUUAUA